rnacentral:rRNA from 1 species
UACGAAGGGGGCUAGCGUUGUUCGGAAUUACUGGGCGUAAAGCGUGCGCAGGCGGCUUCUCAAGUCAGGGGUGAAAGCCCAGAGCUUAACUCUGGAAUUGCCUUUGAGACUGAGAGGCUUGAGUACGGGAGAGGUGAGUGGAAUUCCCAGUGUAGAGGUGAAAUUCGUAGAUAUUGGGAAGAACACCGGUGGCGAGGGCGGCUCACUGGCCCGUAACUGACGCUCAUGCACGACAGCGUGGGGAUCAAACAGG